GACAGAGGGUGCAAACGUUGUUCGGAAUUACUGGGCGUAAAGCGUGUGUAGGCGGCUAUGUAAGUCGGAUGUGAAAGCCCCGGGCUCGACCCGGGAAGUGCACUCGAUACUGCGUAGCUUGAGUACUGGAGAGGUUGGUGGAAUUCUCGGUGUAGAGGUGAAAUUCGUAGAUAUCGAGAGGAACACCGGUGGCGAAGGCGGCCAACUGGACAGAUACUGACGCUGAGACGCGAAAGCGUGGGGAGCAAACAGG
rnacentral:rRNA from 1 species